AACGCCGUUUACCUUCCCGCAGGAGCGGUCCUUAUUUAUCUACUUGCACUUUGAUGUGCUUUCGAACUGCUAGGUUGGCAGGAGCUGGGACCGAGCAACGGGAGCUCACCCCGUUGCAGGGAUUCGAACCGCCGACCUUCUGAUCAGCAAGCCCUAGGCUCUGUGGUUUAACCCACAGCGCCACCUGGGUCCCCUGACGCCUGGCACCUACUGGGACGCAAAACAUGGGAUUAGUUAGACGGACCUUUGGCCUGGCCCGGCCAACCUUAUGAGCUCCAGAUGGCGUACAUGGUUCUCUCCCUCCUCAUUCCAUCCCCAAAACAACACUGUGAGUUCCGAAACGUUCGAAAACUGAGGCGCAAAGGGCUGGCUGCAAAUGCAAUAGAGAAAAUUAAAAAACAUGC